rnacentral:misc_RNA from 1 species
GAUGAAGAACGCAGCGAAAUGCGAUAACUAAUGUGAAUUGCAGAAUUCCGUGAAUCAUCGAGUCUUUGAACGCACAUUGCGCCCCCUGGUAUUCCGGGGGGCAUGCCUGUCCGAGCGUCAUUGCUGCCCAUCAAGCACGGCUUGUGUGUUGGGUCCUCGUCCCCCCCGGGGGACGUGCCCGAAAGGCAGCGGCGGCACCGCGUCCGGUCCUCGAGCGUAUGGGGCUUUGUCACCCGCUCUGCAGGCCCGGCCGGCGCUGGCCGACGCGAAAGCAACCAUUUUUUCUCCAGGUUGACCUCGGAUCAGGUAGGGAUACCCGCUGAACUUAAGCACAUCAAUAAGCGGAGGA